UACGUAGGGUGCGAGCGUUGUCCGGAAUCACUGGGCGUAAAGGGCGCGUAGGCGGCUCAUGAAGGCUGUGGUGAAAGUCCGGGGCUCAACCUCGGAUCGGCCGUGGCGACUCGUGGGCUGGAGGCACUGUAGAGGCGGGUGGAAUUCCACGUGUAGCAGUGAAAUGCGUAGAGAUGUGGAGGAACACGAUGGCGAAGGGCAGCCCCC
rnacentral:rRNA from 1 species